UGACACAAGAGUUGGGAAAUGAUAGAUAGCAAAGGGAUCUUGUGAACCAAAUCUGACAAAAGUACUGCCCUUGGUGACAACCCAAGGCUGCUUAGGUGGAUUCUAUUCUGGUUGUAACAUGAAUUCUGAAGCAGUAAUUCUCAAAGCUCGCUGGAAUUGGCGGUAAUGCUGAAGGUAAAUCUGAAGGAUGCUUGCGGUCGUGUGUGUGAUGCUGCCGGACUCUUGCACUCGGCAGCACAUGUUGCCCAGCAUCUCUUCCAGCACAUCCUUAAUCUGCAGGAAAAACACUACAAAACAACAACCAAACAACUGCAAUCAACACUCGAGGCACUGAAGCAGCGUGGUGCCCCAACAUGCAGUCAGCUGAUAGCGCAGUGCUGCACGCAAUCUGUUGACCGCGUUUGUUAUUGUUCGCACUCCAAAGCAAAAUUCGUCCUCCAAUGCAAAUAAAAAAAAAACACAAUUUUUUUGUUUGUAAUCCAAGUUGUUCAUACUCAAAAGCGUUCGUACUCCAAGGUACCACUGGUUUGUCCAGUACAGAUGGUAUGCAGACGCAACCAACACGUAACGCUGCAGCACAAGCAUGAAAAAGAUGGCAACACUUUGAUCAAGAUUGAAAACCAAGACUACAUAAGUGGAACAUUAGGGAAAAAAA